AUGAUCCCCCUUGCAGUUCUGACUGUAGUAACCAACGUGGUUCUUGUCCCAAACCUGCUGAAUCUGGUCACUUACCUCCACGGAACAAUGCACAUGGGGGUCUCAGGCUCUGCAAUUACAGCCACAUCUGGCUUUGCACUGAUAGGAGCUUUCCUCUGGGACUCCUACAUUACUCGCUCUAGAACUAUGCUCCUCUUUGGUCCGUUUAUGUUUCUGGUAAUGUGUGUUUUAGUCUGUUCGGUUACCUACAUGAUUUCUGAUUUUCUAACACGAUCCAACGGAACUAUUCUUUUAUUCUUGCAUCUUUUCUCAUAA
rnacentral:rRNA from 1 species